CUCUGUGACUCCUACGGGAGGCAGCAGUGGGGAAUAUUGCACAAUGGGCGCAAGCCUGAUGCAGCCAUGCCGCGUGUGUGAAGAAGGCCUUCGGGUUGUAAAGCACUUUCAGUCGUGAGGAAGGUAGUGUAGUUAAUAGCUGCAUUAUUUGACGUUAGCGACAGAAGAAGCACCGGCUAACUCCGUGCCAGCAGCCGCGGUAAUACGGAGGGUGCGAGCGUUAAUCGGAAUUACUGGGCGUAAAGCGCAUGCAGGCGGCCUGUUAAGUCAGAUGUGAAAGCCCGGGGCUUAACCUCGGAAUUGCAUUUGAAACUGGCAGGCUAGAGUCUUGUAGAGGGGGUAGAAUUUCAGGUGUAGCGGUGAAAUGCGUAGAGAUCUGAAGGAAUACCAGUGGCGAAGGCGGCCCCCUGGACAAAGACUGACGCUCAGAUGCGAAAGCGUGGGGAGCAAACAGGAUUAGAUACCCUGGUAG
rnacentral:rRNA from 1 species